rnacentral:rRNA from 1 species
AUGAGGCAUUUCAUAAUAACAAACUGUGAGACAAUCAUUUCUCUUUGAAGUGAACAUCUUGAGGAGCUCAGAAGGAAUAAUUCUCCUAAUCCUAAAAAGCAGCACAAGGAAGAGUUUGUUGGUUGGUUUGAGAGACGGAUCACAGAACUCCACAAUGAUGGGAAGGUCAACAAUCUAAUUUAUGCACUAGCUAAAGGACCUGAUCACCUAGCUCUGGUAUACAACCGUACAGUUCUGAAUGGAUAUUUCUUUCAGAAUUCCUAUAUAGAGCAAGACCCGAGUACCCAAAAUAGUGGCAUCAUAGUCAAGGGUGAUGCAAACACAGGAAAUAUUGAUUAUUACGGGGUGAUCAAGAAAAUCAUAUUUCUUGACUUUCCUCCUGAUAAGGAGGUUGUUCUAUUCCAGUGUGACUGGUUUGAUGUGCCUCCUGCCAAAAGAACUGAGAGUAAGGGGUAUAAGAAGGACAAAUAUGGAAUUAUUGACCUUGACACUACUCUACACUAA